GCCAGUACCGAUAGUAGGUUCAAUGCAUCAGUUCCCCAUGGGUCACUGAAGCAACGUUGCGCGUGGUUAGUACCUGGAUGGUGACCAUCUGGGGAACAGCGUGCUGCUGUGU
rfam:Asian citrus Psyllid, Diaphorina citri - Florida Strain, whole genome shotgun sequence.